rnacentral:rRNA from 1 species
GAUGAACGCUGGCGGCGUGCUUAACACAUGCAAGUCGAACGGUGAAGGCGGAGCUUGCUCUGCUGGAUCAGUGGCGAACGGGUGAGUAACACGUGAGCAAUCUGCCCCUGACUCUGGGAUAAGCGCUGGAAACGGCGUCUAAUACUGGAUACGAGCUGCGAAGGCAUCUUCAGCAGCUGGAAAGAAUUUCGGUCAGGGAUGAGCUCGCGGCCUAUCAGCUUGUUGGUGAGGUAAUGGCUCACCAAGGCGUCGACGGGUAGCCGGCCUGAGAGGGUGACCGGCCACACGGGGACUGAGACACGGACCAGACUCCUACGGGAGGCAGCAGUGGGGAAUAUUGCACAAUGGGCGAAAGCCUGAUGCAGCAACGCCGCGUGAGGGACGACGGCCUUCGGGUUGUAAACCUCUUUUAGCAGGGAAGAAGCGAAAGUGACGGUACCUGCAGAAAAAGCGCCGGCUAACUACGUG